rnacentral:rRNA from 1 species
CCUGCCCAAUGAUUUAUUUAAUGGCCGCGGUAUUUUAACCGUGCAAAGGUAGCAUAAUCAUUAGUCUAUUAAUUGUGGACUUGUAUGAAUGGUCGGACGAAAUAUUUACUGUCUCAUUUUGUUAUUUUAUAAUUUAAUUUUUGAGUUAAAAAGCUCAAAUUUUUUUAUAGGACGAGAAGACCCUAUAGAUCUUUAUUACUUGAUUUUUUAUUUAUUUUUGGUUUAUUUAUUUUAUUAAUUUUCUGGUUAUUUUAUUGGGGUGAUAUUGGGAUAAUUUUAACUCCUAGUUUUAUUUUUCAUUUAUUUAUGUUUAUUUGACCUUGUAUUAUUGUAUUAAGAUUUAGAUACCUUAGGGAUAACAGCGUUAUUUUCUUUGAGAGUUCAUAUCGACAAGGAAGAUUGCGACCUCGAUGUUGGAUUAAGAUUAUUAUCAGGUGUAGCUGCUUGAU